rnacentral:rRNA from 1 species
GACGUAGGGCGCGAGCGUUGUCCGGAUUUAUUGGGCGUAAAGAGCUCGUAGGCGGUUCGAUAAGUCGGGUGUGAAACCUCCAGGCUCAACCUGGAGACGCCACCCGAUACUGUCGUGACUAGAGUCCAGUAGGGGAGCGUGGAAUUCCUGGUGUAGCGGUGAAAUGCGCAGAUAUCAGGAGGAACACCAGCGGCGAAGGCGGCGCUCUGGGCUGGAACUGACGCUGAGGAGCGAAAGCGUGGGGAGCGAACAGG